UACGUAGGUGGCAAGCGUUGUCCGGAUUUACUGGGCGUAAAGAGCGCGCAGGCGGUCGUUCAAGUCGCGUGUGAAAGCCCCCGGCUCAACUGGGGAGGGUCACGCGAUACUGAUCGACUGGAAGGCAGGAGAGGGUAGUGGAAUUCCCGGUGUAGUGGUGAAAUGCGUAGGAUAUCCGGAGGAACACCGGUGGCGAAGGCGGCUUCCUGGACCGACACUGACGCUGAGGCGCGAAAGCUAGGGGAGCAAACGGG
rnacentral:rRNA from 1 species